rnacentral:tRNA from 1 species
GUUUUAAUAGUUUAAUUAAAAUAUUGAUUUUGUAAAUCAAAGAUAAAUAAUCUUUUAAAACA